CUACGGGGGGCACCAGUGGGGAAUAUUGGACAAUGGGGGAAAUCCUGAUCCAGCAAUGCCGCGUGUGUGAAGAAGGCCUGCGGGUUGUAAAGCACUUUCGGUUGGGAGGACUGCUUCUAGCACUAAUAUUGUUGGAAGUUGACGUUACCUUCAGAAGAAGCACCGGCUAACUCCGUGCCAGCAGCCGCGGUAAUACGGAGGGUGGCAAGCGUUAAUCGGAAUUACUGGGCGUAAAGCGCGCGUAGGCGGCUAGAUCAGUCGGGUGUGAAAGCCCCGGGCUUAACCUGGGAACUGCAUCCGAUACUGUCUAGCUUGAGUACAGGAGAGGAGAGUGGAAUUCCACAUGUAGCGGUGACAUGCGUAGAUAUGUGGAGGAACACCAAUGGCGAAGGCAGCUCUCUGGCCUGAUACUGACGCUGAGGUGCGAAAGCGUGGGGAGCAAACAGGAUUAGAUACCCCGGUAGUC
rnacentral:rRNA from 1 species